CAUAGCUCAGUGGUAGAGCACCUGCUUUGCAUGCAGAAGGUCUCAGGUUCAUUCCCCGGCAGGUGGA
rnacentral:tRNA from 1 species